AGCAGCCGCGGUAAUUCCAGCUCCAAUAGCGUAUAUUAAAGUUGUUGCAGUUAAAAGCUCGUAGUUGAAUUUCGGGAUCAAAUUGUCGGUCGUGCCUCGGUACGAACUGGUAUUAUUGGUUCCUCCCUUCUGAAGAACCGCGAUGUCAUUAAUUUGGUGUCGUGGGAAAUCAGGACUGUUACUUUGAAAAAAUUAGAGUGUUUAAGGCAGGCUUACGCUUGAAUACAUUAGCAUGGAAUAAUGAAAUAGGACGUUUGAUUCUAUUUUGUUGGUUUCUAGGAUCGACGUAAUGAUUAAUAGGGAUAGUUGGGGGCAUUAGUAUUCAAUUGUCAGAGGUGAAAUUCUUGGAUUUAUUGAAGACUAACUACUGCGAAAGCAUUUGCCAAGGAUGUUUUCAUUAAUCAAGAACGAAAGUUAGGGGAUCGAAGACGAUCAGAUACCGUCGUAGCCUUAACCAUAAACUAUGCCGACUAGGGAUCGGAUGAUGUUAAUUUUUUAAUGACUCAUUCGGCGCCUUACG
rnacentral:rRNA from 1 species